GACGAACGCUGGCGGCGUGCUUAACACAUGCAAGUCGAACGGUAAGGCCCUUCGGGGUACACGAGUGGCGAACGGGUGAGUAACACGUGGGUGAUCUGCCCUGCACUUCGGGAUAAGCCUGGGAAACUGGGUCUAAUACCGGAUAGGACCACUGCCUGCAUGGGUGGUGGUGGAAAGCUUUUGCGGUGUGGGAUGGGCCCGCGGCCUAUCAGCUUGUUGGUGGGGUGAUGGCCUACCAAGGCGACGACGGGUAGCCGGCCUGAGAGGGUGACCGGCCACACUGGGCCUGAGAGACGGCCCAGACUCCUGCGGGAGGCGGCAGUCGGGAAUGUUGCACAAUGGGCGCAAGCCUGAUGCAGCGACGCCGCGGGAGGGAUGACGGCCUUCGGGUUGUAAACCUCUUUCAGCACCGACGAAGCGCAAGUGACGGUAGGUGCAGAAGAAGGACCGGCCAACUACGUGCCAGCCGCCGCCGUAACAC
rnacentral:rRNA from 1 species